rnacentral:rRNA from 1 species
CGUAGACUAGAGAGUUUGAUCCUGGCUCAGGACGAACGCUGGCGGCGUGCUUAACACAUGCAAGUCGAACGGUGAAAGAGGAGCUUGCUCCUCUGGAUCAGUGGCGAACGGGUGAGUAACACGUGAGUAACCUGCCCUUGACUCUGGGAUAACCUCGGGAAACCGAAGCUAAUACCGGAUACGACCCUCGGAGGCAUCUCCAGGGGGUGGAAAGAACUUUGGUCAAGGAUGGACUCGCGGCCCAUCAGGUAGUUGGUGAGGUAACGGCUCACCAAGCCGCACGACGGGUAGGCCGGCCGCUGAGAGGGUGACCGGCCACACUGGGACUGAGACACGGCCCAGACUCCUACGGGAGGCAGCAGUGGGGAAUAUUGCACAAUGGGCGCAAGCCUGAUGCAGCAACGCCGCGUGAGGGACGACGGCCUUCGGGUUGUAAACCUCUUUUAGUAGGGAAGAAGCGAAAGUGACGGUACCUGCAGAAAAGCACCGGCUAACUACGUGCCAGCCGCCGCGGUA